GGGUGUGACUCAGUGGGAGAGCAUCUGCUUUGCAUGCAGAAGGUCGCUGGUUUGAUCUCCAGUUAAAAUGGCCCA
rnacentral:tRNA from 1 species